UUUUUUUGAAAAGUAAUUUUCAUUUAAAUUUUGAUUAAAGGUAAAAAAAAACAAAAGAAAAAAAAAUUAAGGUAGCUAUUACAUACUCAGAAUUCGCAAAAAUAAAAAAAAACUAACACUACUGUAGUUUCGCUCCCCCUUCACGUACUGCUCCUCCUUCACCUCUUCACUGCUCCUCCUUCUCCUUCACCUCUCUUCCUUCUCUGUCGCUGCAUCUCACUCCAUUAAUUGUUGUUUUGGCUUGUUCGAAUUUGGGAUCAGCUAUAGGGGACUUUUAUCAAAGUUUGAGAUCAAGGAGCAUAUAUGGCCAUUCAACAAAGUCAAGAGCAAACUUCCUCAAGCCAAGAUGUUGCUUUGCAAGCCACAUCAUCUAAGAAGAGGAGUAGGGGGCCAUCAAAGGCAAUACAAUCAAGUAAGCCUAUGGUGCUUGAAUUUAAUGAUUUUGACUUGCCUACUGGUGAAUGGGAACCCGCUUAUGGAAAACAAAUUGGUGCAUGUGCUAAGAGAUUAGACAUCACUGUGAAUGAGUAUGCAAAAAUAGAUAAAGUGGACCGGGAAAAUAUAUGGGAAGAGACAAAGCGAAUGUUCCACAUUGAGGAUCCAAGUGGAGAAAGGCAAAAAAGAUUUCAUAGUGCUGUGGCUUCGCGAUUCAGCUGUCACAAGUCGAAUUUAAGGGCACGAUUCAUCACUUUUAAAAACCCAUAUACCCGGCCACUUUUCCUAAAGCAAAUAUGAAGCCAUGGGAAGUGUAUGAAGGUUACUUUACAGAGGAGAAAUGGAAGAGAUUCGAAAUAUAUAGUAAAUCAGCAGAAUUCAAGGAAAAGAGUGAAAAGGGGAAGGAAAAUGCAAAGCUAAAAAAAUGUCGCCAUCACUUGGGUCGAAACAGUUUUCAAAGAGCUUGGAUAAUUUGGAAUAAGCAAAAGAGACUUGAAAAUAGAUUUCCUGCUCUGGCAGAAUCUUCAACUACUGGCCACACUUCCCAGAGCAGUACAUCAACUGGUUCUAUUUUUGAUCGUCGAGCUCUUGAGUGGGUUUUAGCUCAUGAAAAGCGGUUGCCAGAUGGAACAUGGGGCAUCGACCCAAAAGAUACGGAGACUAUUCGAAUUGCCAAUAUAGUUGAAGAGAACUUGCAAAAACAAGCAAAGGAAUCUGAGGAAGGAGAGUGUAAACAAUCAGAGCGAGGCGUUGAUGCCCUUACUUUGGCAUUUGGGAAAAAGGACCAUCGUGGAUUUGUGAAAGGACUUGGUGGAUGUGGGAUUGGUGUCGGCUAUAGAAAAGCAUUUGGCCCUGUAAAAGGUAAAAACAUGUCUAAAAGUGGUUGCUCAUUACAAGAACUAGAUGAAUUUAAAGAGAACUUAACUCGGGAAUUUGAAGAAAAAUUAAAGGAAGACAUUGCAGCAGCUGUAAAUUCUUAUCUUUCUGCUUUCAUACGACACAUGACUGUUAAUGAUUUGCAAGUAAAUGAUGCUCAACCUUCCCCAUCUUACUCAACCAAUCCAACGGAGCUAAGUCCUCGCUUGUUAGAGAUCCCAACUAAAUGUCUUCUUGCUUUAGUUGAUGAGUUCAGUGGGAACUCAGUGAUUGUGGCCGAUGGAACGAUAGAACCUUGUCCUAGUGGAGUGAUUCAUAACAAGAAAAUGAACCGUGACAUCUAUAGAGUUAGUGUUGACCAUGUUUAUAGUGAUUAUUCUCACCUAAAUCUCCCAGAAGAGACUGAUGUCGGUAUCACCAAGUUGGGUGAGGCGAAAGGUAAUUUUUUGGGGUGGCCGGCAGAUUUAGUCUUCUUUACUGAUGAGGUUAUGACUUUGGCAAAAAAGACGGAUAAUGAAUUGGUGCAAACCAAAGAGAAAGUUGAUAGUUGCGGACCUAUCAACUCAGAGCAUUCAACUAUUAAAGGCAAAGGCAUAACUAUUCCGGAAAAUAUUGUUGAGAGUCUUGGUGAACAGUGUUCUAUGUUGAACACACAUGACUUCAGGAAGUGGAGAUUAUGAUACUACGACAAUUCCAUUGAAGGCUCCAUUGUUUUAUCAAAAGGAAGACACACAAAUUUAUGUUACUAGUGAUGAUGUCUCUUGAAUUACUACGAGGAGCAUGGGCUAAUAUUUCAUUAAUCCAUGUCUACAUAUUGUACUUAAUUGAAAAGCAUAUCUCAUUAUUUCAGAAGACUAAAAUCAAGUUCUUGUGCCCCCAAAAAAUUUCUGCAGUUGAAAUCAAGAAAGAUUUCCUUGAAGUCCAAAUGUAUUUGAAAAAUGCUUUUCUUACUGAAUUAAGGAAAAAUGAUGCACAAUGCAAAUUCAUUUUGGCUCCAUAUAUGGAAGCGAAUCAUUGGGUACUCUAUGUGAUUGAUUUGCAUAUGAGUCUUGUGUAUGAGUUUGAUUCUGUUAUUCAAUCACCUCCGAACGCUCGAAACUCAGAGUUGUCCAAAGUAAUGAAGAUACCUUACAAUGUAUACAGGUCACACCUUAAAGGAAAUGCUUUCAAAACGAGUAAGCCACAAUUACUAUACAUAAGAAUGGAGUGUGCUCAACAAUGUGGUGGUACCGAAUGUGCUUAUUAUGUGAUGAGAUAUAUGUAUGAGAUAGUAUCUUUCCAUAGCGAUUGCAAGGGUAAUUUGAAAGAGGAGUAUUUGGCAAGACUUGCAGCCUACAACGAUGUAGAAUUGGAUGAGAUUCGAGAACAAUGGGCUAAGUUUUUUAGGCUUAAUUUUUUGUUGAAACACUAGUUAUCUUAUUAAUCGAUGUUAUGAUUUAUCGCAUUUAGCUUAAUAAAAUGAUAUAACACAUUUUUAUAUAUCUACUUUAAUUUUAUUUA